rnacentral:rRNA from 1 species
UACGAAGGGGGCGAGCGUUGUUCGGAAUUACUGGGCGUAAAGGGCUCGUAGGCGGCCAACUAAGUCGGACGUGAAAUCCCUCAGCUUAACUGGGGAACUGCGUCCGAUACUGGAUGGCUUGGAUUUGGGAGAGGGAUGCGGAAUUCCAGGUGUAGCGGUGAAAUGCGUAGAUAUCUGGAGGAACACCGGUGGCGAAGGCGGCGACCUGGGUAGAUACUGACGCUGAGGUGCGAAAGCGUGGGGAGCAAACAGG